rnacentral:rRNA from 1 species
GUGAGGAAUAUUGGACAAUGGGCGCAAGCCUGAUCCAGCCAUGCCGCGUGCAGGAAGACGCAUCUAUGGUGUGUAAACUGCUUUUGUACGGGAAGAAACACUCCCUCGUGAAGGAGCUUGACGGUACCGUAAGAAUAAGGAUCGGCUAACUCCGUGCCAGCAGCCGCGGUAAUACGGAGGAUCCAAGCGUUAUCCGGAAUCAUUGGGUUUAAAGGGUCCGUAGGCGGUUUAAUAAGUCAGUGGUGAAAGCCCAUCGCUCAACGAUGGAACGGCCAUUGAUACUGUUAGACUUGAAUUACAAGGAAGUAACUAGAAUAUGUAGUGUAGCGGUGAAAUGCUUAGAUAUUACAUGGAAUACCAAUUGCGAAGGCAGGUUACUACUUGUGGAUUGACGCUGAUGGACGAAAGCGUGGGGAGCGAACAGGAUUAGAAACCCCAGUAGUCC